rnacentral:misc_RNA from 1 species
AUUUCUCCACCCCCUCUUGCUUUUGUGGCAGGGCGGGGCUGGGACUUUGGGGGUUUAUUUGCGGGCCCUAGCGGGUCUGCUCCCCUUGAAUGUAUUAGCGAGGCUUUCGAGUGGCCUUCGGUGUGAUAGUUAUCUACGCCGCCGCGUCACUUCGGCUCGUCCUUCGGGGCGGUGCGUCGCUUACAACCGUCUUCGGACAGAACAACAACAC